GUGGUUCAAGUUUCUAAGAGCAAACGGUGGAUGCCUUGGCAUCUGGAGCCGAAGAAGGACGUGGUAAUCUGCGAUAAGCCUCGGGGAGCCGAUAAACGGGCUGUGAGCCGAGGAUUUCCGAAUGGGGAAACCCCGCCAGGCUUUUUUGAUCUGGUGACUCCCGCCUGAAUGUAUAGGGCGGGUAGAGGGAACGCGGGGAAGUGAAACAUCUCAGUACCCGCAGGAAGAGAAAACAAUAGUGAUUCCGUGAGUAGUGGCGAGCGAAAGCGGAAGAGGCUAAACCGGCUGUGUGUGAUACCCGGUAGGGGUUGCAUGGUCGGGGUUGUGGGAGCGUUUUUUCAUCGUUCUACCGGACGGUGGGCGUUACAGCAGCGCAUAGGUGAACGACUUUGAAUGGUCGACCGGAGAGGGUGCGAGUCCCGUAACUGAAAUGUGUGUGUUGGCGCUGGAGCGUUUCCCAAGUAGCACGGGGCCCGUGAAAUCCCGUGUGAAUCUGUCAGGACCACCUGAUAAGCCUAAAUACUCCCAGAUGACCGAUAGCGGACAAGUACCGUGAGGGAAAGGUGAAAAGUACCCCGGGAGGGGAGUGAAAUAGUGCCUGAAACCGUUUGCUUACAAUCCGUCGGAGCUGGUGCCUUUGGUACUGGUGACGGCGUGCCUUUUGAAGAAUGAGCCUGCGAGUUAGUGAUACGUCGCGAGGUUAACCCGUGUGGGGUAGCCGGAGCGAAAGCGAGUCUGAAUAGGGCGUUGAGUGGCGUGUUCUAGACCCGAAGCGAAGUGAUCUAUCCAUGGCCAGGUUGAAGCGAGGGUAAGACCUCGUGGAGGACCGAACCCACCUAGGUUGAAAACUGGGGGGAUGAGCUGUGGUUAGGGGUGAAAGGCCAAUCAAACUUCGUGAUAGCUGGUUCUCUCCGAAAUGCAUUUAGGUGCAGCGUUGCGUGUUUCUUGCCGGAGGUAGAGCUACUGGAUGGCCGAUGGGCCCCACCGGGUUACUGACGUCAGCUAAACUCCGAAUGCCGGUAAGUGAGAGCGCAGCAGUGAGACAGUGGGGGAUAAGCUUCAUUGUCGAGAGGGAAACAACCCAGACCACCGACUAAGGUCCCUAAGCGUGUGCUAAGUGGAAAAGGAUGUGGAGUUGCCGUGACAACCAGGAGGUUGGCUUAGAAGCAGCCACCCUUGAAAGAGUGCGUAAUAGCUCACUGGUCAAGUGAUUCCGCGCCGACAAUGUAACGGGGCUCAAGCACACCACCGAAGUCGUGGCAUUCAUAUGUGUGAUAAGCCGCCCUGCGGGGUUGGUUCAGUUGUAUGGAUGGGUAGGAGAGCGUCGUGUGGCGAGUGAAGCGGCGGAGUGAUCCAGCCGUGGACGCUACACGAGUGAGAAUGCAGGCAUGAGUAGCGAAUGACGGGUGAGAACCCCGUCCUCCGAAAGACUAAGGGUUCCAGGGUCAAGCCAAUCUGCCCUGGGUAAGUCGGGACCUAAGGCGAGGCCGACAGGCGUAGUCGAUGGACAACGGGUUGAUAUUCCCGUACCGACGAAAAACCGUCAGAACCAAGCCAGUGCUGCUAAGAGUCCGAGGUUUCGGUUGUUCCUUCGGGAACGGCCGUUGCUGAGCACUCGACCCUAUCUGGUGCGGUUAGCGUAUUAACAGGUGUGACGCAGGAAGGUAGCCGAACCGGGUGAAUGGUUGAAUCCGGGCAAGGAUGUAGGGUGAGCGAUUGGUAAAUCCGUCGCUCGUGUGCCUGAGAUCUGACGCGGAAGUCGUAAGACGAAGUCGGUAAUCCUAUGCUGCCAAGAAAAGCAUCGACGCGAGGUUUUAGUCGCCCGUACCCGAAACCGACACAGGUAGUCAGGUAGAGAAUACCAAGGAGAGCGAGAGAAUCGUGGUUAAGGAACUCGGCAAAAUGCCCCCGUAACUUCGGGAGAAGGGGGGCCUGACGCGUAGUAGGGUUUGCCCCGAAAGCGUGUUUGGGCCGCAGAGACCAGUGGGAAGCGACUGUUUAUCAAAAACACAGGUCCGUGCGAAGUCGCAAGACGAUGUAUACGGACUGACGCCUGCCCGGUGCUGGAAGGUUAAGAGGAGGGGUUAGCUUCGGCGAAGCUCUGAAUUUAAGCCCCAGUAAACGGCGGUGGUAACUAUAACCAUCCUAAGGUAGCGAAAUUCCUUGUCGGGUAAGUUCCGACCUGCACGAAUGGCGUAACGACUUCCCAGCUGUCUCAACCGCGAACUCGGCGAAAUUGCAUUACGAGUAAAGAUGCUCGUUACGCGCAGCAGGACGAAAAGACCCCGUGACCUUUACUAUAGCUUGGUAUUGGUGUUCGGUGUGGCUUGUGUAGGAUAGGUGGGAGACGGUGAAGCAGCGACGCUAGUUGUUGUGGAGUCAUUGUUGAAAUACCACUCUGGUCAUUCUGAAUAUCUAACUUCGAACCGUGAUCCGGUUCAGGGACAGUGCCUGGUGGGUAGUUUAACUGGGGCGGUUGCCUCCCAAAAAGUAACGGAGGCGCCCAAAGGUUCCCUCAACCUGGUUGGCAAUCAGGUGGCGAGUGUAAGUGCACAAGGGAGCUUGACUGUGAGACUGACAGGUCGAGCAGGGACGAAAGUCGGGACUAGUGAUCCGGCAGUGGCUUGUGGAAGCGCUGUCGCUCAACGGAUAAAAGGUACCUCGGGGAUAACAGGCUGAUCUUGCCCAAGAGUCCAUAUCGACGGCAUGGUUUGGCACCUCGAUGUCGGCUCGUCGCAUCCUGGGGCUGGAGUAGGUCCCAAGGGUUGGGCUGUUCGCCCAUUAAAGCGGUACGCGAGCUGGGUUCAGAACGUCGUGAGACAGUUCGGUCUCUAUCCGCUGCGCGCGUAGGAAAUUUGAGAAGAUCUGUCUUUAGUACGAGAGGACCGAGAUGGACGAACCUCUGGUGUGUCAGUUGUUCCGCCAGGAGCACCGCUGAUUAGCUACGUUCGGUACGGAUAACCGCUGAAAGCAUCUAAGCGGGAAGCCGGCUUCAAGAUGAGAUUUCCAUCCCUUCGGGGGAGAGGCUCCCAGUAGACGACUGGGUUGAUAGGCCGGAUGUGGAAGCAGGGACUCAAGACCUGUGGAGCUGACCGGUACUAAUAUGCCAAUAACUUGACACCACA
rnacentral:rRNA from 1 species